CUUGAACGCUGGCGGCAUGCCUUACACAUGCAAGUCGAACGGCAGCGCGGGCUUCGGUCUGGCGGCGAGUGGCGAACGGGUGAGUAAUACAUCGGAACGUACCCUGUUGUGGGGGAUAACUAGUCGAAAGAUUAGCUAAUACCGCAUACGACCUGAGGGUGAAAGUGGGGGACCGGAAACGGCCUCAUGCAGCAGGAGCGGCCGAUGUCUGAUUAGCUAGUUGGUGGGGUAAAGGCCCACCAAGGCGACGAUCAGUAGCUGGUCUGAGAGGACGAUCAGCCACACUGGGACUGAGACACGGCCCAGACUCCUACGGGAGGCAGCAGUGGGGAAUUUUGGACAAUGGGGGCAACCCUGAUCCAGCAAUGCCGCGUGUGUGAAGAAGGCCUUCGGGUUGUAAAGCACUUUUGUCCGGAAAGAAAUCGCGCUGGUUAAUACCUGGCGUGGAUGACGGUACCGGAAGAAUAAGCACCGGCUAACUACGUG
rnacentral:rRNA from 1 species